rnacentral:rRNA from 1 species
AGAGUUUGAUCCUGGCUCAGGAUGAACGCUGGCGGCGUGCUUAACACAUGCAAGUCGAACGAAGCACUUUAUUUGAUUUCCUUCGGGACUGAUUAUUUUGUGACUGAGUGGCGGACGGGUGAGUAACGCGUGGGUAACCUGCCUUGUACAGGGGGAUAACAGUUGGAAACGGCUGCUAGUACCGCAUAAGCGCACAGCAUCGCAUGAUGCAGUGUGAAAAAACUCCGGUGGUAUAAGAUGGACCCGCGUUGGAUUAGCUAGUUGGUGAGGUAACGGCCCACCAAGGCGACGAUCCAUAGCCGACCUGAGAGGGUGACCGGCCACAUUGGGACUGAGACACGGCCCAAACUCCUACGGGAGGCAGCAGUGGGGAAUAUUGCACAAUGGGCGAAAGCCUGAUGCAGCGACGCCGCGUGAGCGAAGAAGUAUUUCGGUAUGUAAAGCUCUAUCAGCAGGGAAGAUAAUGACGGUACCUGACUAAGAAGCACCGGCUAAAUACGUGCCAGCAGCCGCGGUAAUACGUAUGGUGCAAGCGUUAUCCGGAUUUACUGGGUGUAAAGGGAGCGCAGGCGGUGCGGCAAGUCUGAUGUGAAAGCCCGGGGCUCAACCCCGGUACUGCAUUGGAAACUGUCGUACUAGAGUGCAGGAGAGGUAAGCGGAAUUCCUAGUGUAGCGGUGAAAUGCGUAGAUAUUAGGAGGAACAUCAGUGGCGAAGGCGGCUUACUGGACUGAAACUGACACUGAGGCACGAAAGCGUGGGGAGCAAACAGGAUUAGAUACCCUGGUAGUCCACGCCGUAAACGA